ensembl:lncRNA
CUUCUUGUUCCCAGCCUAAAUCCUUUCUCCUUUUCAUCUCUCUCUGAGGAUACAAACAGGAUUCUGCUGCCCCUGACCACUCUGCAAGUCCAGCAUAUUAUGAAGCAUUUCCAAAUCUUCUGUCAUCACAUAAUGAACUCUGCAGAAUACAAUCAACAGCUGUUGUGCUGCUGGCAAGGGGGACGUUGUAUGCAAGCUGCCUUUCAACUCAAAAGAAAGACCCUAAAAAAAACCCAAAAUAUUAAGAGAUUGAUUCUCCUCCCAAAGUUAAAGUAUGGCAUGAAAAGUGGAUCACUGCUUCAAAAUGGACCACCUGAUUUAAUGGCAGCUGGCCAUUAAUUCUCUGGAAAUUGUUUUCCACCUCAAAUGCUGUUCUUUAAACAAAAGUCUGC